rnacentral:rRNA from 1 species
GAUGAACGCUGGCGGCGUGCCUAAUACGUGCAAGUCGAGCGAACAGACGAGGAGCUUGCUCCUCUGACGUUAGCGGCGGACGGGUGAGUAACACGUGGAUAACCUACCUAUAAGACUGGGAUAACUUCGGGAAACCGGAGCUAAUACCGGAUAACAUGUUGAACCGCAUGGUUCAACAGUGAAAGACGGUCUUGCUGUCACUUAUAGAUGGAUCCGCGCCGCAUUAGCUAGUUGGUAAGGUAACGGCUUACCAAGGCAACGAUGCGUAGCCGACCUGAGAGGGUGAUCGGCCACACUGGAACUGAGACACGGUCCAGACUCCUACGGGAGGCAGCAGUAGGGAAUCUUCCGCAAUGGGCGAAAUCCUGACGGAGCAACGCCGCGUGAGUGAAGAAGGUCUUCGGAUCGUAAAACUCUGUUAUUAGGGAAGAACAAAUGUGUAAGUAACUAUGCACGUCUUGACGGUACCUAAUCAGAAAGCCACGGCCAACUACGUG